rnacentral:snoRNA from 1 species
CCUGAUGAUGAUUUUGUCCAUGUUGGAGAUACCGGGGUUCCAAGUCCUUGUUUUACAAGGAGAACCUACUUGGAGUCGCCCUUGUAUUCAUGUGACAUAAUUGGAUAUUAUCUGAAGC